rnacentral:rRNA from 1 species
AGCUGGCUGGUUCCAUGAGGUGACUUCUGCCCAGUGCUCUGAUUGUCAAUGCGAAGAGAUUCAGCCAAGCGCGGGUAAACGGCGGGAGUAACUAUGACUCUCUUAAGGUAGCCAAAUGCCUCGUCAACCAAUUAUUGACGCGCAUGAAUGGAUCAACGAGAUUCCUGCUGUCCCUAGGUGCUGUCCGGUGAACCUACAGCCAAGGGAACGGGCUUGGAUGUGCCAGCGGGGAAAGAAGACCCUGUUGAGUUUGACUCUAGUUUGAUGCUGUGCAACAACAUGUGGGGUGUAGCAUAGGUGGGAGGCGAGUGCCAUUCUCUCUCACCCUGCUCUCCGUGGACUGGACCUGGCUCUCUCCCUGUGGGAGUGUCCAGUGUCUGGCUCCAUGUGUGGCAUGUGGCCCUGAAUGGUGCAAACCAGCAGUGAAAUACCACUACCUUCACCGUUGUUUUACUCAUCGAGUGGCUUGGGAACAGUGGCCAUUGGACAUCAGCCUUUGCAAUCCUUGUGGAGGUUGUGGCCUCUUCCUGCUUCGUGUGUCAAAUGCUGGUCCACCCUCUGGGUGGAUGGCAUGACCCUUGGGGUUCACACCCCAUCAAUGCAUUGGUGCCUCGGGACAAUGAUCAGUUGGGGAGUUUGGCUGGGGCGGCACGCCUGUUACAAAACAACGCAGGCGUCCUGAAGCAUUGCUCAGAUGGAAGAGAAAUCUUGCAUGGAGGAGCAGGCCAAAGGUUCUGCUGAUGAUGUGACUUCCAGUACAAGUCCAAAACGUGCAAGUGUGGCCUUGCGAUCCUUUGGUCAAGCUCACGGAUUCUGGAUAUUGAAGCCAGAGGUGUCAGAAAAAUUACCACAGGGAUAACUGGCUUGUGGCUGCCAAGCGUUCAAAGCGACGUCGCUUUUUGAUCCUUCGAUGUCGGCUCUUCCUAGCUUCCCACCCGCAGCCGAGUGGAAGAGUUGGAUUGUUC